UACGUAGGGGGCAAGCGUUGUCCGGAUUUACUGGGCGUAAAGGGCGCGUAGGCGGCUUAACAAGUCACUUGUGAAAUCUCCGGGCUUAACUCGGAACGGCCAAGUGAAACUGUCAAGCUAGAGUGCAGAAGGGGCAAUCGGAAUUCUUGGUGUAGCGGUGAAAUGCGUAGAUAUCAAGAGGAACACCUGAGGUGAAGACGGGUUGCUGGGCUGACACUGACGCUGAGGCGCGAAAGCCAGGGGAGCAAACGGG
rnacentral:rRNA from 1 species